rnacentral:rRNA from 1 species
UACGUAGGGUGCAAGCGUUGUCCGGAUUUAUUGGGUUUAAAGGGUGCGUAGGCGGCUUUUUAAGUCAGUGGUGAAAUACAGCAGCUCAACUGUUGAGGUGCCAUUGAUACUGAAGAGCUUGAGUACAGAUGAGGUAGGCGGAAUUUAUGGUGUAGCGGUGAAAUGCAUAGAUACCAUAAAGAACACCGAUUGCGAAGGCAGCUUACUAGCUGUAACUGACGCUGAGGCACGAAAGCGUGGGGAGCGAACAGG